rnacentral:lncRNA from 1 species
AUGCCUUUGUUUGCUUAUCGUAAUUAUAAUCACACUUUACAUUACUUCUUCAUUUGACAUAUCUGCUUCCUCUACGUCUAUCGAGAGGAAUCGUCUUUUAUCAGGAGAGUUGGUUGACUUACGGACGCUGAAGUCGGGUUUCAUUGGUAGAGCGCAAGGAAGGCAUUAAGCCCUGCUGAACAAUGCUCAGUUCUUAUCCCAUUAAGGGUCUUCCUUCAAAAAUCACAAUUGCAACCAUAAAUCCAACUUCUUUACCUCGGGUGGCUGGUUGAGUCACUUGGGCACACGGUUCUUGGCUGGCAUACCUUCCUACAGAUAAUUCUGGUUUGGGUAAAUCCGCUAUGUGAACUUAACCCGUUAUUGAACAAGUAUUUCUCACACUCACUUCUAGUAUUUGUAGAUGUACAUACUAAGGAGGCUUUCAAUGGUAGCCAUCUGUGCUACAUUAAACCUUCAACAUGGUGGGGUCAGGGACUUCUACAUGCGUUCUUUGUCAUCUAGGAUUACAUGCCCUUGGACUCCAAGUUUGCGGGACCACGAGAUAAGAGUUGAUGGUAAAUUGGCAGACUCAUUAUGAUUGUUCCGGUUGAAGCUUAUUCGUGAUGAAUUCAGAUAUGAAAAAAGUGGCAAAGAUAUCUAUAAGAAGCUUGAAGACAAGUGUGGAGGGAUGAUCAUUUACGCUCGAAAGUUUGAUUGGCAAACUGCAGGCUUGUGGCUGUCAUCGGCAGUUUAAAAGCGCCAUUCAAUGUCUUGUAUUUAAUAUUAUUUGAACUUUGACGAUGGUUGUUGAUACAAUUUGAACAACUUUUAAUUGCUGGUACUGCUGGAGGCACGUAGGCACAUGCAAGGGACUAUUGUUCAUUUACCGGCUUUAAGCCUUUCUAGAGGGAUCCCACUAACACCUGGAGAGAAGGAGCCAUCC